UUAAUGUAAAUGAUAACAGGGUACCAAAGUAAAAUUUUUUCGUUUUGUGAAAGCACAAUUAUUAGGUUGAGUUUGAUGUGCGCAUGCGCACUAAAUGAAAUGCAAAUUUGGCGGGCCGUAUUUCUGCCAUAAUCUGAACUGCUUCUCAGAGCGACAACUCGACAAGUAAGGUAAAACAACAUCAACAAAAAUCAUUGUAUAUUAAUUAGUUCAGUCGUUUUCUCCUUGUACAUUUAAACGAGGAUUUCCUUCACUGCCUGGACACAAUUUUCAGACGACGUUAGUCGGUCCCCAACCCCCAGCAGCAGUAAGUUUGUUUGGAAAAGAGGAACUAACCGCCGCCAGGAGACCGACAGCAGCAGCUUAAAGACACUCUUCGGUUUCUGCUCUGCAUCCAGUCUGGAAGCCUUUGACUAACUUUUGAUAAAUGCAGACUUCUUGAGAGUUACAACAAUUACUUUGGAGGCAAAGUUUUUUGCACAGUUGGACAAACACUCCACCAAACUUCUAGAGGUCAUCAGGAGCAAUGGAGGGCGUGUGAAAGAGCAGACCACCAACAUCUUAGAAGUUCUGGAUGAAGGAUUGUUGACAUUACCAUCAGAGGAGAAGCCAUCCUAAAAUCUCUGAUGAUCUACUUGGUGAAUCUUUUGAGCACCUCAUUAAAGAACACCAGAACGGUCUGGACAGUGAUGCUCCGCAGAUUGAAACCAUGGCGAUCUUUCUCACUGGGAGAGAGGAUCUUCUCCGUCCACCAACAGACAUCAAGAUAGUGAUGGAUGAAAAAAGUUUUCAGACUGAACAGCCAGCUUUAAGUUAGUGUCAAUUAAUGUUUUUUUUCCCCUCACUUAAGUGUAUUAGUAUUGGGAAACAGUUUUGAUGUUUAUACAUCUUAAAGAUGUCAUGUUUGUAAAUUUGGAUGUGGAUAUGUUCAUGGAACAAUAAAUAUUGUUUACAUGAA